UACAACCAUAUCACAUUGAAAGACCAGUUCUCAUACGAUAACUGAAGUUAAGCAAUAUUGAGCCUGGUCAAUACCUAGAUGGGUGAUCGCUUAUGAUGACUAGGUGCUGUAAG